UCCUACGGGAGGCAGCAGUGGGGAAUAUUGCGCAAUGGGGGAAACCCUGACGCAGCGACGCCGCGUGAAGGAAGAAGGCCUUCGGGUUGUAAACUUCUUUGAUCGGGGACGAAGAUGACGGUACCCGAGGAACAAGCCACGGCUAACUACGUGCCAGCAGCCGCGGUAAUACGUAGGUGGCAAGCGUUGUCCGGAAUUACUGGGCGUAAAGGGUGCGUAGGCGGCCCUUUAAGUCAGAUGUGAAAGCCCGCAGCUUAACUGCGGAAUUGCAUUUGAAACUGGAGGGCUUGAGUGUCGGAGAGGGUAGUGGAAUUCCCAGUGUAGCGGUGAAAUGCGUAGAUAUUGGGAGGAACACCAGUGGCGAAGGCGACUGCCUGGACGAUAACUGACGCUGAGGCACGAAAGCUAGGGGAGCAAACAGGGUUAGAUACCCUGGUAGUCCUAGCCGUAAACGAUGGGUACUAGGUGUAGGUGGUUUCGAUACCAUCUGUGCCGUAGUUAACGCAUUAAGUACCCCGCCUGGGGAGUACGUGCGCAAGCAUGAAACUCAAAGGAAUUGACGGGGGCCCGCACAAGCGGUGGAGCAUGUGGUUUAAUUCGAAGCAACGCGAAGAACCUUACCAGGUCUUGACAUCCCUGGACAGCUGUGGAAACACAGUUUCCCUUCGGGGCCAGGAGACAGGUGGUGCAUGGUUGUCGUCAGCUCGUGUCGUGAGAUGUUGGGUUAAGUCCCGCAACGAGCGCAACCCUUGCCUUUAGUUGCCAUCAUUAAGUUGGGGACUCUAAAGGGACUGCCGGUGACAAAUCGGAGGAAGGUGGGGAUGACGUCAAAUCAUCAUGCCCCUUAUGAUCUGGGCUACACACGUGCUACAAUGGGUGGUACAGAGGGAAGCGAAGCCGUGAGGCGGAGCGAAUCCCAGAAAGCCACUCUCAGUUCGGAUUGCAGGCUGCAACUCGCCUGCAUGAAGUCGGAAUCGCUAGUAAUCGCAGGUCAGCAUACUGCGGUGAAUACGUUCCCGGGCCUUGUACACACCGCCCGUCACACCACGAAAGUUCGCAACACCCGAAGCCGGUGGCCUAACCGCAAGGAGGGAGCCGUCGAAGGUGGGGCGGAUGAUUGGGGUGAAGUCGUAACAAGGUAGCCA
rnacentral:rRNA from 1 species